rnacentral:rRNA from 1 species
UGGGGAAUUUUGGACAAUGGGGGAAACCCUGAUCCAGCCAUCCCGCGUGUGCGAUGAAGGCCUUAGGGUGGUAAAGCACUUUUGGCAGGAAAGAAACGUCAUGGGUUAAUAUUCCGUGAAAAUGACGGUACUUGCAGAAUAAGCACAGGCUAACUACGUGCCAGCAGCCGCGGUAAUACGUAGGGUGCAAGCGUUAAUCGGAAUUACUGGGCGUAAAGCGUGCGCAGGCGGUUCGGAAAGAAAGAUGUGAAAUCCCAGAGCUCAACUUUGGAACUGCAUUUUUAACUACCGGGCUAGAGUGUGUCAGAGUAAGGUGGAAUUCCGCUUGUAGCAGUGAAUUGCGUAGCUAUGCGGAGGAACACCGAUGGCGAAGGCAGCCUCCUGGGAUAACACUGACGCUCAUGCACGAAAGCGUGGGGAGCAAACAGG